rnacentral:rRNA from 1 species
GAGUUUGAUCGUGGCUCAGGAUGAACGCUGGCGGCGUGCCUAAUACAUGCAAGUCGAACGAACAGAUAAGGAGCUUGCUCCUUUGACGUUAGCGGCGGACGGGUGAGUAACACGUGGGUAACCUACCUAUAAGACUGGGAAUAACUCCGGGAAACCGGGGCUAAUGCCGGAUAACAUGUUGAACCGCAUGGUUCUACAGUGAAAGACGGUCUUGCUGUCACUUAUAGAUGGACCCGCGCCGUAUUAGCUAGUUGGUGGGGUAACGGCCUACCAAGGCGACGAUACGUAGCCGACCUGAGAGGGUGAUCGGCCACACUGGAACUGAGACACGGUCCAGACUCCUACGGGAGGCAGCAGUAGGGAAUCUUCCGCAAUGGGCGAAAGCCUGACGGAGCAACGCCGCGUGAGUGAUGAAGGUCUUCGGAUCGUAAAGCUCUGUUGUUAGGGAGAACAAUGUGUAAGUACUGUGCAUAUCUUGACGGUACCUAACAGAAAGCCACGGCUAACUACGUGCCAGCCGCCGCGGUAAUACC